GACGAACGCUGGCGGCGUGCUUAACACAUGCAAGUCGAGCGGAGCGGCGAACGGGUGAGUAACGCGUGAGUAACUGCCCCCCUCUCUGGGCUAACAGUUGGAAACGGCUGCUAAUACCGGAUAGUGGGGGCUGAAUCGGGUCCUAUCAGCUUGUUGGUGGGGUAGUGGCCUACCAAGGCGACGACGGGUAGCCGGCCUGAGAGGGCGACCGGCCACAAUGGGCUGAGAUACGGCCCAAACUCGUAAGGGGGGCAGCAGUGGGGAAUAUUGCACAAUGGGGGAAACCGUAAUGCAGAAACGCCGGGGUCGGGAUGACGGUCUUCGGGUUGUAAACCGCUUGCAGCCAUGACGCGGUAGUGGCAGAAGAAGCACCGGCUAACUACGUGCCAGCCGCCGCGGUAAUUC
rnacentral:rRNA from 1 species